CGAAAGCCUGACGCAGCGACGCCGCGUGUGGGAUGACGGCCUUCGGGUUGUAAACCACUGUCGGGAGGGACGAAGCUCUGACGGUACCUCCAAAGGAAGCACCGGCUAACUCUGUGCCAGCAGCCGCGGUAAUACAGAGGGUGCAAGCGUUGUCCGGAAUCACUGGGCGUAAAGGGCGCGUAGGCGGCCUGGUAAGCAGGGGGUGAAAUCCUGUGGCUCAACCACAGGGCUGCCUCCUGAACUGUCAGGCUGGAGCACGGUAGAGGCAGAUGGAAUUCCCGGUGUAGCGGUGGAAUGCGUAGAGAUCGGGAAGAACACCAGUGGCGAAGGCGGUCUGCUGGGCCGUUGCUGACGCUGAGGCGCGACAGCGUGGGGAGCAAACAGGAUUAGAUACCCUGGUAGUCCACGCCGUAAACGAUGGGUACUAGGCGUCGGGGGGAGCGACCCUCCCGGUGCCGUCGCUAACGCAGUAAGUACCCCGCCUGGGGAGUACGGCCGCAAGGCUG
rnacentral:rRNA from 1 species